AUUGAACGCUGGCGGCAGGCCUAACACAUGCAAGUCGAGCGGAUGAAGGGAGCUUGCUCCUGGAUUCAGCGGCGGACGGGUGAGUAAUUCCUAGGAAUCUGCCUGGUAGUGGGGGAUAACGUCCGGAAACGGGCGCUAAUACCGCAUACGUCCUGAGGGAGAAAGUGGGGGAUCUUCGGACCUCACGCUACCAGAUGAGCCUAGGUCGGAUUAGCUAGUUGGUUGGGUAAAGGCCUACCAAGGCGACGAUCCGUAACUGGUCUGAGAGGAUGAUCAGUCACACUGGAACUGAGACACGGUCCAGACUCCUACGGGAGGCAGCAGUGGGGAAUAUUGGACAAUGGGCGAAAGCCUGAUCCAGCCAUGCCGCGUGUGUGAAGAAGGUCUUCGGAUUGUAAAGCACUUUAAGUUGGGAGGAAGGGCAGUAAGUUAAUACCUUGCUGUUUUGACGUUACCAACAGAAUAAGCACCGGCUAACUUCGUG
rnacentral:rRNA from 1 species